UGGCUCUCAUUUUCUAACAGGUUCAUCAGAUAAGUUUGCCAAGAGAUUUAGACCCCCAUCUUCAUGCACAUGGCUAACUGUACUGAUGAUGCAACAUAGAAACAGUUUACAAAUCUCAAGUACUCCAGAGUUGAAAUUGAUGAAGUGCGG